UUGCAGUCUGCAACUCGACUACAUGAAGCUGGAAUCGCUAGUAAUCGCAGAUCAGAAUGCUGCGGUGAAUACGUUCCCGGGUCUUGUACACACCGCCCGUCACACCAUGGGAGGUCGGAAAUGCCCGAAGCCGGUGACCAAACCAAUAAGGAAGGAGCCGUCGAAGGCAGGUCUGAUAACUGGGGUGAAGUCGUAACAAGGUAUC
rnacentral:rRNA from 1 species